UACGUAGGGUGCGAGCGUUAAUCGGAAUUACUGGGCGUAAAGCGUGCGUAGGCGGCUAUGUAAGACAGAUGUGAAAUCCCUGGGCUCAACCUAGGAACUGCAUUUGUGACUGCAUUGCUAGAGUGUGGUAGAGGGAGAUGGAAUUCCGCAUGUAGCAGUGAAAUGCGUAGAUAUGCGGAGGAACACCAGUGGCGAAGGCGACUUCCUGGCCUGUUCUUGACGCUGAGGCGCGAAAGCUAGGGGAGCAAACGGG
rnacentral:rRNA from 1 species